rnacentral:rRNA from 1 species
CAAUAGCGUAUAUUAAAGUUGUUGCAGUUAAAAAGCUCGUAGUUGGAUUUCUGGUGAGAUGGAUUAUGUCUAGGUCGAAAGAUCUUGUUCAUGGUUCGUUUUGCCCUUCUUGUCAGGAACCCGCUGAGAUUCGCGUCUUGUCGGUGGAAUGGCAUCGUUUACUGUGAAAAAAUUAGAGUGUUCAAAGCAGGCAUCGCCGUUGAAUACAUUAGCAUGGAAUAAUAAGAUAAGACUUUGGUGGUCUAUUUUGUUGGUUUGCACGCCAAAGUAAUGAUUAAUAGGGAUAGUUGGGAGUAUUCGUAUUCUAUUGCUAGAGGUGAAAUUCUUAAAUUUAUGGAAGACGAACUACUGCGAAAGCAUUUACCAAGGAUGUUUUCAUUAA